rnacentral:rRNA from 1 species
CGCUGGCGGCAUGCCUAANACAUGCAAGUCGAGCGAAGGCUUCGGCCCUUAGUGGCGACCGGGUGAGUAAACGCGUGGGAACCUACCCUUUUGUGGGGGAUAACCGAGGGAAACUUCGUCUAAUUCCACAUACGCCGGUUAACCGGGAAGAUAUAUCACAGAAGGAUGGACCCGCGUCGGAAUAGCUAGUUGGUGGGGUAGCGGCCUACCAAGGCAAUGAUCCGUAGCUGGUCUGAGAGGAUGAUCAGCCACACUGGGACUGAGACACGACCCAGACUCCUACGGGAGGCAGCAGUAGGGAAUAUUGGACAAUGGGCGAAAGCCUGAUCCAGCAAUGCCGCGUGAGUGAGGAAGNCCUUAGGGUUGUAAAGCUCUUUCGGCGGGGACGAUGAUGACGGUACCCGAAGAAGAAGCCCCGGCUAACUUCGUGCCAGCAGCCGCGGUAAUACGAAUGGGGCGAGCGUUGUUCGGAAUUACUGGGCGUAAAGGGCGCGUAGGCGGUCAUCUUUGUCAGGCGUGAAAGCCCCGGACUUAACCCGGGAACUGCGCUUGGCACGGGUUGGCUAGAGUUCGCGAGAGGAGAGUGGAAUUCCCAGUGUAGAGGUGAAAUUCGCCGAUAUUGGGAAGAACACCGGUGGCGAAGGCGGCUCUCUGGACCGAUACUGACGCUGAGGCGCGACAGCGUCGGGAGCAAACAGGAUUAGAUACCCUGGUUGUCCACGCUGUAAACGAUGUGUACUAGCUUCUCGGUGUCGCAGUUAACGCGGUAAGCACACCGCCUGGGGAGUACGGUCGUAAGGUUAAAACUCAAAGGAAUUGACGGGGGCCCGCACAAGCGGUGGAGCAUGUGGUUUAAUUCGACGCAAUGCGAAGAACCUUACCAGGCCUUGAUAUAUGCCUCGUCUGGGGUCGAGAGAUCGGCUUCUUCAGUUCGGCUGGCGGGGACACAGGUGCUGCAUGGCUGUCGUCAGCUCGUGUCGUGAGAUGUUGGGUUAAGUCCCGCAACGAGCGCAACCCUCAUCCUCAGUUGUCAUCAGGUUAUGCUGGGCACUCUGAGGAAACUGCCGGUGACAUCCCGGAGGAAGGCGGGGAUGACGUCAAGUCCUCAUGGCCCUUAUG